UACGUAGGGCGCAAGCGUUGUCCGGAAUUAUUGGGCGUAAAGAGCUCGUAGGCGGUUUGUCGCGUCUGCUGUGAAAUCCCGAGGCUCAACCUCGGGCUUGCAGUGGGUACGGGCAGACUAGAGUGCGGUAGGGGAGACUGGAAUUCGUGGUGUAGCGGUGGAAUGCGCAGAUAUCAGGGAGGAACACCGAUGGCGAAGGCAGGUCUCUGGGC
rnacentral:rRNA from 1 species